CGCGUAGGCGGCCCUGUCAGUCGGGUGUGAAAGCCCGGGGCUCAACCCCGGAACGGCACCCGAGACGGCAGGGCUGGAGACCGGGAGAGGAGGGUGGAAUAGCCAGUGUAGAGGUGAAAUUCGUAGAUAUUGGCUGGAACACCGGUGGCGAAAGCGGCUCUCUGGCCCGGUUCUGACGCUGAGGCGCGAAAGCGUGGGGAGCAAACAAG
rnacentral:rRNA from 1 species